GUGAUGCUACUCCUGGGCUGGUGCUUCUGGGUUAUAUAAGAAAGCAGGCUGAGUAAGCCUGGGGAGCAAGCCAGUAAAUAGCACCCCUCCAUGACCUCUGCAUCAGUUCCCGCCUCCAUGUUCCUGGCCCAUUUGAGUUCCUGUCCUGGCUUCCUUCAAUGAUGGACAACAAUGUGAAAGUAUCUAGAUGAAGAACUCUCAGCACCUUCUCCAGCACACUGUCUGCCUGCCUGCUGCUGCCAUGCUUCCCAACAUAAUGAUAAUGAACUGAACCUCUGAAACUGAACCAGGACCUGUGGUGAGGAAGUGCCUGUUCACACAGUAAUGGAAACGUUUAGGGUCACUGGGGCAACACCGUACUGAUUGCCUGGUGGAGAAUCUAACUAGCUGCUGGCUUCAAUGUAUACAACAGUACUCUUUUCCACACAUAUAAAUGUUUUUAACCUAUUACAACUUCUUAAAUAUACCUUUAUUUAAAUAAACUAUAUUAGUUCAUUAUAUU
ensembl:lincRNA Gm34816 predicted gene, 34816